CAACCUGCCGAUGACUCGGGGAUAGCCUUUCGAAAGAAAGAUUAAUACCCGAUGGCAUAGUUCUUCCGCAUGGUAGAACUAUUAAAGAAUUUCGGUCAUCGAUGGGGAUGCGUUCCAUUAGGUUGUUGGCGGGGUAACGGCCCACCAAGCCUUCGAUGGAUAGGGGUUCUGAGAGGAAGGUCCCCCACAUUGGAACUGAGACACGGUCCAAACUCCUACGGGAGGCAGCAGUGAGGAAUAUUGGUCAAUGGACGAGAGUCUGAACCAGCCAAGUAGCGUGAAGGAUGACUGCCCUAUGGGUUGUAAACUUCUUUUAUACGGGAAUAAAGUGAGGCACGUGUGCCUUUUUGUAUGUACCGUAUGAAUAAGGAUCGGCUAACUCCGUGCCAGCAGCCGCGGUAAUACGGAGGAUCCGAGCGUUAUCCGGAUUUAUUGGGUUUAAAGGGAGCGUAGGCGGACGCUUAAGUCAGUUGUGAAAGUUUGCGGCUCAACCGUAAAAUUGCAGUUGAUACUGGGUGUCUUGAGUGCAGUAGAGGCAGGCGGAAUUCGUGGUGUAGCGGUGAAAUGCUUAGAUAUCACGAAGAACUCCGAUUG
rnacentral:rRNA from 1 species